rnacentral:misc_RNA from 1 species
GAUGAAGAACGUAGCGAAAUGCGAUAAGUAAUGCGAAUUGCAGAAUUCAGUGAAUCAUCGAAUCUUUGAACGCACAUUGCGCCCGCCAGUAUUCUGGCGGGCAUGCCUGUCUGAGCGUCGUUUCGACCCUCGCGCCCGGCUUCUGUCGGGGGCGGUGUUGGGGAUCGGCCACACCCUUCAGUGGGAGGCCGGCCCCUAAAUUCAGUGGCGACCACGCUGUAGCCUCCCCUGCGUAGUACUAAAACCACCUCGCAGGCGGAGAGCGGUGCGGCCCGCUGUAAAACCCCCCAACUUUUACAAGGUCGACCUCAGAUCAGGUAGGAAUACCCGCUGAACUUAAGCAUAUCAAUAAGCGGAGGA